rfam:Psychromonas sp. CNPT3, complete genome.
GCUUCGUUAGCUCAGUCGGUAGAGCAGAGGAUUGAAAAUCCUCGUGUCCUUGGUUCAAUUCCGAGACGAAGCA